UCUAAUAAGAUGUCUUAUGUGCACAAUUUUGUAACCGUACAACAAGGUAUAAAACAACUACACUUUCUAAACAUUGGACAACAAAAAUUAUUUUGCUUGUUACAUAAAAAACAUUUAUAUUCAACUUCUGAAGGACACAAUACAGUAAAUAUUUAUUUCCUUCUGAUUUGCACUUAUAGUAUUGGCUGUUGAUAAGUAUGCAUGAGUAUGUAUCCCCUG